rnacentral:rRNA from 2 species
UGGGGAAUAUUGGACAAUGGGCGCAAGCCUGAUCCAGCCAUGCCGCGUGAGUGAUGAAGGCCCUAGGGUUGUAAAGCUCUUUCACCGGUGAAGAUAAUGACGGUAACCGGAGAAGAAGCCCCGGCUAACUUCGUGCCAGCAGCCGCGGUAAUACGAAGGGGGCUAGCGUUGUUCGGAAUUACUGGGCGUAAAGCGCACGUAGGCGGACAUUUAAGUCAGGGGUGAAAUCCCGGGGCUCAACCCCGGAACUGCCUUUGAUACUGGGUGUCUUGAGUGUGGAAGAGGUGAGUGGAAUUCCGAGUGUAGAGGUGAAAUUCGUAGAUAUUCGGAGGAACACCAGUGGCGAAGGCGGCUCACUGGUCCACAACUGACGCUGAGGUGCGAAAGCGUGGGGAGCAAACAGG